rnacentral:rRNA from 1 species
CGUAGUGGCGGACGGGUGAGUAACGCGUGGGUAACCUGCCUUACACAGGGGGAGUAACACCUGGAAACAGGUGCUAAUACCGCAUAAGCGCACAGGGCCGCAUGGCCCGGUGUGAAAAACUCCGGUGGUGUAAGAUGGACCCGCGUCUGAUUAGCUUGUUGGCGGGGUAGAGGCCCCACCAAGGCGACGAUCAGUAGCCGGCCUGAGAGGGUGGACGGCCACAUUGGGACUGAGACACGGCCCAAACUCCUACGGAAGGCAGCAG